rnacentral:RNase_P_RNA from 1 species
CAGGCCGGGCAGACAGCCGCCGCGCAGCGCGUAAGGCCUGCGGGGAGGAAAGUCCGGGCUACACAGGGCAGGAUGCCGGCUAACGGCCGGGCGUGGCAACACGACGGAAAGUGGAACAGAGAGCAGAACCGCCGAUGGCUGUUUUUCAGUACAGGCAAGGGUGAAAAGGUGCGGUAAGAGCGCACCGUGCACUUGGCAACAAGGCGCAGCAGGCCAAACCCCAUCCGUAGCAAGACCAAACAGAACGCACAGACGCGGCCCGCCGAGCGUUCGGGUAGGUUGCUGGAGCACAUCAGCAAUGAUGCGCCUAGAGGAAUGGCUGUCCGACGACAGAACCCGGCUUACCGCCCGACCUGUAUG